GCCACAUGAGAGAGCAUGGCUAUAUGAGCACAGGAGAUCAUGACUUGGCCAUUUAAGAGGAGAUCAAAACAACACAUAUUAUGAAAGAGCCCAUCCACAUGGAGAUAAGCCUAUGGACAUAUCACAAGAUGGACUUGGGCCACAUAGGAGUAUCAUUAUGCCUAGCAGACCAAUCAUAAGAUCACGAGUCAAGAAAAUCAAGCAAGCCUUUCAAGCUUAUGUUCAAGAGUGGACUAAUGAAGAGGAAAGGCUUGGGCCAAUGGAAGCCCAUGAAGGAAAGAGACCGAAUCUAUUAAGCCAAAAAAAGAGUUAGCUAAUCAAUGUCUUAUAACUUAUGGACUCUCCGCCAACUCAUCCAUGAGAGUUCCUAACCUUCUCUAACUCAUAAUAAUCAACCAACAAAGAGUCCUACAAGUCAUGAUGUUCAGUUAAAUCUUCUACAGAUCUUUUAUAAGCAAUCAACCAUCAUUAUCCUAUAAAAAGUCCUCAAAUUAUUGGACUCUCUGGUCUUUUACACUUGGAAGCCAAUCACCCAGCUUAAAACAUCC
rnacentral:lncRNA from 1 species